UCAACACUGUAACUAUCAAAUAGACCAUAGAUCCAAAACAUUAUAUAAGGGCAGCCUUGAGUGAAGGGUGAGAAAGUAAGGCUGAAUGACCUGCUGGCAGAGGCUGGAGUCAUGAUUCAUUCACUCACAUCUCAAUUGGACAGCUAAAAAGGGCCCUGAAAGAGAAUUGGUUGAAAGGAGUGUAGCCGAAACUGUAGCCAAAGGUGGCAUUGUGCUUCCAGAAAAGUCUCAAGGAAAGGCGUUUCAGGAAGCAGUCAUAGCUGUGGGAUCAGAUCCGCUGAGAAAGGAAGAGAUGCGUAGAUUCAUCCGAGUACACAGUUGGAGGAGAGUUCUUCAAUUUCAGCUAAGCUCACCUCUUAGACCCAAGAAAACCAAAGUCUGAAGAAUAAAAUCAAGGUGCCUGUUACCAUUUAGAACCAGACCCCCACCCAACGGUAUAAAUAAAGUUUUAUUAGCAAAGA